AACGAACGCUGGCGGCAUGCCUAACACAUGCAAGUCGAACGAGACCUUCGGGUCUAGUGGCGCACGGGUGCGUAACGCGUGGGAACCUGCCCUUAGGUUCGGAAUAACUCCCCGAAAGGGGUGCUAAUACCGGAUAAUGUCUUCGGACCAAAGAUUUAUCGCCUUUGGAUGGGCCCGCGUUGGAUUAGCCAGUUGGUAGGGUAAAAGCCUACCAAGGCGACGAUCCAUAGCUGGUCUGAGAGGAGGAUCAGCCACACUGGGACUGAGACACGGCCCAGACUCCUACGGGAGGCAGCAGUGGGGAAUAGUGGACAAUGGGCGAAAGCCUGAUCCAGCAAUGCCGCGUGAGUGAUGAAGGCCUUAGGGUUGUAAAGCUCUUUUAGCCGGGAUGAUAAUGACAGUACCGGGAGAAUAAGCGCCGGCUAACUCCGUG
rnacentral:rRNA from 1 species